UUAAAGCCCAAAACCCAACCUAACCCUAAAUUUAUCCCUUUCUCAUUCUCUCUCAGUCACCUCAGUUGCCCUCUCCCUCUCUCUCGCUCGUUUCCCCCUCACCGCCGGCCUCUCUUUCUCAUUUCCCUCUCACUGUCAGACUCUCUUUCUCACGGUUUCUCUCCUUUUUUUUCAGGUCACCAUCGACGGUGUGGUGGUGGUAGGCAUGCGAAAGGGAUGCUCUCUAAGUGUCGUGUCUCUCUCAUUCUCUCUUACCGUCUCUAUUUCUUUUGCAGGUUCAUGGAGGUGGUGCCGUUCACGGCGGUAAUGUCGCUCGCCAUAAUGGAGGUGGCUCGGAGAGGUGCAGAGGUCUCUCUCUCUCUCUCUGUUUGAUCUUUAUGUGUAUUUUUUUUGGUUCGGGACUCGUGGGGCUAUCAACGGGGUUUGGGGUUUGUGUGGCUGUUGACUGGGUUCAACAACGGGGGCUUUGAAUCUCAGGUCUUUGAAACUGUUAUGCACGUGAGGGAGAAGAGCCUGAAGCUGACCAAGAGGUUAUAGGGGCUCUUGUUGCAACAACACUUUCAAGGUCUUUGGAUAAUUUGUUGUGUAAAACUGAGUAUAAAAUGUAUAUGUGAUUGGUUUUGGACAAUUAAUAAGUGUAUUUUUAGAGUUUUGAUUUUGUUAUGAAUUUUGGUUGAAAUUUAUGUGAUGUUUUGGUA